GAUGAACGCUGACAGAAUGCUUAACACAUGCAAGUCAACUUGAACUUCGGUUUGGGUGGCGGACGGGUGAGUAACGCGUAAAGAACUUGCCUCACAGAUAGGGACAACAUUUGGAAACGAAUGCUAAUACCUGAUAUUAUGAUUAUAUGGCAUCGUAUAAUUAUGAAAGCUAUAUGCGCUGUGAGAGAGCUUUGCGUCCCAUUAGCUAGUUGGAGAGGUAACGGCUCACCAAGGCGAUGAUGGGUAGCCGGCCUGAGAGGGUGAUCGGCCACAAGGGGACUGAGACACGGCCCUUACUCAUACGGGAGGCAACAGUGGGGAAUAUUGGACAAUGGACCAAGAGUCUGAUCCAGCAAUUCUGUGUGCACGAUGAAGUUUUUCGGAAUGUAAAGUGCUUUCAGUUGGGAAGAAAAAAAUGACGGUACCAACAGAAGAAGUGACGGCUAAAUACGUG
rnacentral:rRNA from 1 species